rnacentral:tRNA from 1 species
GUGGGUACAGCUCAGUGGUAGAGUGCAUGCUUAGCAUGAACAAGGUCAUGGGUUCAAUUCCCAGUACUUCCA